CCUACGGUGUGCAGCAGUGGGGAAUAUUGCACAAUGGGGGAAACCCUGAUGCAGCGACGCCGCGUGAGUGAAGACGUAUUUCUGUAUUUAAAGCUCUAUCAGCAGGGAAGAAAAUGACGGUACCUGAUUAAGAAGCCCCGUCUAACCACGUGCCAGCAGCCGCGGUAAAACGUAGGGGGCAAGCGUUAUCCGGAUUUACUGGGUGUAAAGGGAGCGUAGACGGCAGCACAAGUCUGGAGUGAAAUGCCGGGGCUUAACCCCGGAACUGCUUUGGAAACUGUGCAGCUAGAGUGCAGGAGAGGUAAGUGGAAUGCGUGGUGUAGCGGUGAAAUGCGUAGAUAUUAGGAGGAACACCAGUGGCGAAGGCGGCUUACUGGACUGUAACUGACGUUGAGGCUCGAAAGCGUGGGGAGCAAACAGGAUUAGAUACCCGGGUAGUC
rnacentral:rRNA from 1 species